rnacentral:rRNA from 1 species
AUUGAACGCUGGCGGCAGGCCUAACACAUGCAAGUCGAACGGUAACAGAAAGCAGCUUGCUGCUUUGCUGACGAGUGGCGGACGGGUGAGUAAUGUCUGGGAAACUGCCUGAUGGAGGGGGAUAACUACUGGAAACGGUAGCUAAUACCGCAUAACGUCGCAAGACCAAAGAGGGGGACCUUCGGGCCUCUUGCCAUCGUAUGUGCCCAGAUGGGAUUAGCUAGUAGGUGGGGUAACGGCUCACCUAGGCGACGAUCCCUAGCUGGUCUGAGAGGAUGACCAGCCACACUGGAACUGAGACACGGUCCAGACUCCUACGGGAGGCAGCAGUGGGGAAUAUUGCACAAUGGGCGCAAGCCUGAUGCAGCCAUGCCGCGUGUAUGAAGAAGGCCUUCGGGUUGUAAAGUACUUUCAGCGGGGAGGAAGGGAGUAAAGUUAAUACCUUGGCUCAUUGACGUUACCCGCAGAAGAAGCACCGGCUAACUCCGUG